UUUUUGUAUUUUUUUGAAGCAGCAGUGGAAAUAUUGACAGCUGAUAGAAAUUAAAGUGGUUUAUUUAUAGCUGCUUCUGUGGCCACGCACCAGCGGAAUUAAAUCGGCUCCACCUAAAUCCAGCAAGAUCCCCUCCGACUGGAAAAUAUCAUCACCACACAUUCGUCCGCCCAAGGCUAAUUUGUGACAGCUCUGGAGAAACAGCUGUGGAGUUUCAAGGCGAAUUGGUUGGACUUCAGGCAGAGCUCGCUGGGCUGCUGGGAUUCUCCCCUGGGCGUUUCAGCAUGGUGCUUCACCUGAAGUGCUCCUGUGGAAAAUCUGCCCCCUGUACCCCCAUCCCCAAACCCCCCCCGAAGACUCACGUGCCGGUUAUCUCAACAUCAAUA